UUUUCCCUCUCUGUGCAGUUCUG
rnacentral:miRNA from 1 species